UCAAUAGUAAUAGUAAAACAUAUAUAUACAGUACAGAACACGUGGUGUUACUCUGAUAUUCUCACCGCUAAAAUGAAGUUCAACGCAUUAAUCAGUUUAUUAGUUUUACUAAUGGUUCUGUUAUGUGUGUCUUGUGGGGUGGUUAUACCUAGUCAUCGACAAGGUGUUGGCCCAUUCUCGAGAAAAUGUGAUGUGGGCUACAUAUUCAUAAGAGGAAAAUGCAGAGAAAUGCUGAGAUAGAGGGCCUAACAACAUUGCAAAUCUCUCACAGGGCACAACUUAAAGGCAACAGUAUUAAUAGAUUUUAAUGUUUUAUUGAAGAAGAAAAAAUAUAAUAGUUUGAAUUGUGUUUAUACUCGUAUAUUGUAAGGUUAAGGUUUCCAAUUCAGUAUUGUUAAUUUAUUUGUUGUUUUCCUUUAAAUAAAAUGUAAAUUAAUG